rnacentral:rRNA from 1 species
UACGAAGGGGGCUAGCGUUAUCCGGAAUUAUUGGGCGUAAAGAGCUCGUAGGCGGUUUGUCGCGUCUGCCGUGAAAGUCCGGGGCUCAACUCCGGAUCUGCGGUGGGUACGGGCAGACUAGAGUGAUGUAGGGGAGACUGGAAUUCCUGGUGUAGCGGUGAAAUGCGCAGAUAUCAGGAAGAACACCCGUGGCUAAGGCGGCUCUCUAGUACGGUACUGACGCUGAGACGCGAAAGCGUGGGGAGCGAACAGG